GCAUCAACUUUGAAUAUUGAAUUUGGUUUGGUUACUGCAGAAAAAUCAAAUUUCUUAAUUAACCCUAGAUUGAUAGAAAGUAUUUAAGAGUUAUUAUGAAAGAAAAUCUUGGGAAGAAUUCCAUAUGGAUUAAACUAUUCUAGAGUGAUUCUGACCCUUUUCUUCUUCUGACUUUGUCCAGGUUAAACAUGUUUCACUACUUAAUAGAGAUUUCUUCUGGGAUCCAUUUAAAAAUAAAUAGGAAAACUCACUUGAACUACUAUUGCACCAGACGGUCCAGACCAGUAAGAUUAUGAAUCCUACACCAGGUGUGUCAAAGCCUAACGAUCGGAAGUGGAACGCACCUUGAAACUACCAGCCACAUAAUGAACUCAUUACAACCGCAAACAAGCAUAAGUAACUGUGUCCUCCAAUAAUAAUCGGUUAAAGAAGUGCAGGCGAAACAAACUCCUGAAAGAGAAAGGGAAAGAACAUUCCAUGACACAAGAAGGCUUUGUAUGACAUGCAUUUUGGUGGAAUCAAAAUGCCUUGUUGGUGCUUUGGAAAAUUCUUCGCUUUGGGUCUCUUGAAAGGGGAGAUAAUAUGUACAGGAGAAAUGCGACCAGCAUUAUACUUUGAGGACAAAAAAGCUCUUAAUCUCUAUACUGGCAAUGAGAUCUGUAGGAAUUCAACUUUCACCAAUAUUACAGUCUACAUUUUGAAGAGGGGAAGUAUGCUCAUGCUGGGUGUUAUCGUGAUGGUCUUAAUGUUUUCUAUGGAACUAAAGGCUAUGGAAUCAUAUCAGGGGACUGGGAUUUGUAAAAAAAGCUUCAGAUUUCAGGAUACUAGCAUGCGGGGAUAUCAGUCUUCCCAUAGCAGGAAAUUUGGACUUGAGGCAUAUGAAGAUCCGUCCUUGGUAAGAUGAAGAUGAUCAACCAAGUCAUGCUCUUUAGUUUAAAACUGAUUAAAGUAGUAGCGCAAAUCAGCAAAGUGAAGAUAUGUGUUGUACUCACUCCUAUAGCAUCCCUUUGGCUGUCUUAGCUCAACAGGUAGAACGCAUGGCUUUUAGUCACGAGGUUGUGGGUUCAACUCCCACAGACAGUGACUUCGUAUUCAAGUAUGAGGUGAUUCUUCAGGAAGAGUACGUAGGUUCAUAUAAGUAAAAGGUUGUCUAAAACCUAUUAUAAAGGGCAAACACAAAGCCUGAAAGAAACCAAAAACAAAGAAAAUCUGCAAUAGAAGCAACUGCGACACUAUAACUGUUUACAUUCACAAAAUAUAUUGUCUUCUUUCAGAUUUUGAUAUUAUUCGAUUCAAACACUGCAAACAAUAGAAGCAACAAAAACAUCUAUGACAGUAAAAAUCGUAGAAGAAAAAUAAACUGGAAAACAAUGUUGUUGAUCGUUAGAAAAGAGAAUCAAGGAAACUAAGCUAACCCGAAUUCGUUGGAUACAAUACUAACUAGCUAGUUCUCUUGCAAUAGUAACAUAUCAUUUAAAGGAGUUGAGCUUUUCUCAUAAACGACCGAAGCUGCAUACACUACUCCAUCAAACUUAUGGAUGUGAUCUUCAUAAACAUCAUCACCAUCUUCUCUUUCAAACACCGUUGUCUCUUCAAUAUAAUCCUCCCACCUCGUACGCUUACCAAUGUAACAUGAUACCCAGGUAAAGUAUGAGCCGGAAUAUCUUUCAGAUCAACCUCAUAUUCGACCCAAAAUCGAGGUUCCUCAUCACUAGGAAAUUCAUCCUCAUCCAGUAUCGAUAUAGAAAGUUUCUUAUCCACUUCGUUGUGACACACCAUGCAUAUUUUUCUCUAGUAGUCUCUUUUUACUAACAGUCCAGUGAUAACGGAUCACUUUGAAUCUCCUUCUUUCGACAUUGAAACAUAGAACAUUCAUUACUGGGGUGGUGAUCCAAUAAAUUGAUUCUCCUAUUGUUGUAGGAGAGUAGGCUUUCCCAUUGUAUU